rnacentral:rRNA from 1 species
CCUACGGGGGGCAGCAGUGGGGAAUAUUGGACAAUGGGGGGAACCCUGAUCCAGCCAUGCCGCGUGUGUGAAGAAGGCCCUCGGGUUGUAAAGCACUUUCAGUGAGGAAGAACGCCUGGUGGUUAAUACCCAUCAGGAAAGACAUCACUCACAGAAGAAGCACCGGCUAACUCCGUGCCAGCAGCCGCGGUAAUACGGAGGGUGCGAGCGUUAAUCGGAAUUACUGGGCGUAAAGCGCGCGUAGGUGGCUUGAUAAGCCGGUUGUGAAAGCCCCGGGCUCAACCUGGGAACGGCAUCCGGAACUGUCAAGCUAGAGUGCAGGAGAGGAAGGUAGAAUUCCCGGUGUAGCGGUGAAAUGCGUAGAGAUCGGGAGGAAGACCAGUGGCGAAGGCGGCCUUCUGGACUGACACUGACACUGAGGUGCGAAAGCGUGGGUAGCAAACAGGAUUAGAUACCCCUGUAGUC